GUAUCUUACCCAUACUUGGGCAAUUUGGCAAACUAACUGCCAUUUAAAUCUCCCAACACACCUGUCAUGUGUCUGCCCACAAAAUUACUAUCUACGGGGCACAGGAACAUACCACACUGUGGGUGGUACUUGCUCCAAGCAAGGCUAGCUACUGUGUUGCCCACAUCACUGUGAGGCACCAUUGGUACAGUGCCACUGUAGAUACAAAGUGCUGGUGCAAUAAUCUCUAUGGUGCAAAUUGUCCUCCAUCACUGUCCCACAGAGCACUAGCCACUACAUAGGGGGUCUGUUUGGCCUAGUUCUUCUACCUUGUUGGUUCAGGGUCAAGUUUUCUGGAAGUCCCUUGCCUAUAUAUAUAUAGUACUGCAUACCUUCAAUCUCAUUGUGUGCUGUUUUUUGCCAGCACCCAUAGCUUUGCGGUCAUUGUGUGUUUCAGCAAGCCAAUUUUGGAACAUAUUUCAGAAGGAAAAAGCUAUUGUGCAGGAAUGCUGCCAGCUGGCCAGAGGCAGAUACCCAGGUGCUUGAGAGAUUCAAUUGCAGUUGAACUCUAAUUAGGAAAACUUUGGAUUAUGACUGAGUGAUACAAAUAGAGUGUGUGGCAGGGAAUCACCCACUUGGGGGAAAGACAAUAUCAGGAGAAAAGUAAAAGGGCCUGAGAUAACUGCAGCCAGUCUGGGUAAGGAGGAAAACCUACCCUUUUUCCCAAUGAACUGGACAGUAUUUUUGGCACUCAUCCAUCUACAGAGCCUGAGGUACUUUGGAUGGCACUGUGACACCUAGCACCUGGGCCAUCAGGAGAAGAGAAAGGAAAAAUAUUCAUCAUAGCCCAGUCCAUGACAAGGGAUGUGGGCCAGGACCAGGAGGUGCCUGAGACCGUACAAGGAUUCCAAGACCUCUUUGGAGAAGCUCAAGAUCUGGCUACAGCAGCCAAACAGGUUGGGGGUGGACGUAGGAGACAAAGGAGCACGCAAGAGGGCCCGACUGCACCAAGGCCCAGUGUGGAAAUGCUGGCACAUCACUGAAUGGGACAGCAAAGGCAUCAGGAAUCACAAAUGAUUGAACACUUGACCAUCUCACCGGAAGGAAAUUGAAAUGACUCACAGAGGGUCAUGUAAAGGGACUCUGAUACAAUGUUUAGAUUCAAGGAGGAAAAAGCUGGUCAUUUUUUGGAAAGACAAGACCAAUUUAGGCAAGAGGACAGAAAACCAAUGAGGGAAUGUAUAUGGCAUGAUAGUGAAGUGACGCUGCCGGAUCAAGAGGUCCAUAGAAAACUUCAAAGAGAAUACAUGGAGAAGCAAAGGCAGCUAGCACUAUUCUCCCAGCACCUGUUUGCAUUGUACAACCACCUCAGCAUGAUGCUAUGGUACAGAACUGGCUCAUCCCUGUCUGCUCCCUCUGCUGUGGUCUCCUGGCACUCUGGUGGUGAACAGGACAAAGAACUGGAGUAUGCCAGACAUACAUUUUGUGGCCCUAUAGCCCCGUAAACCAAAUUUUUGUGUGCUUGGGUUAUUUUUCUCUGGUUACUUAUUGGAACUGGCCUGAAUGUUUGUGGUUUUAAAUAAAGUAAACUUGCAUAAUUUA